rnacentral:rRNA from 1 species
GACGAACCGUGCGAACGUUAUUCGGAAUCACUGGGCUUAAAGCGCGUGUAGGCGGCCCGGCACGUCCGUCGCUGAAAUCCCCCGGCUCAACCGGGGAAGUGGCGUGGAUACGGACCGGGCUGGAGGGGGGUAGGGGGAGCCGGAACUUCCGGUGGAGCGGUGAAAUGCGUUGAGAUCGGAAGGAACGCCCGUGGCGAAAGCGGGCUCCUGGACCCCACCUGACGCGUGAGACGCGAAAGCCAGGGAGCGAACGGG